GACGAACGCUGGCGGCGUGCUUAACACAUGCAAGUCGAACGGACAGGCCCUGCUUUUGUGGGGUGCUCGAGUGGCGAACGGGUGAGUAACACGUGAGUAACCUGCCCUUGACUUUGGGAUAACUUCAGGAAACUGGGGCUAAUACCGGAUAGGAGCUCCUGCUGCAUGGUGGGGGUUGGAAAGUUUCGGCGGUUGGGGAUGGACUCGCGGCUUAUCAGCUUGUUGGUGGGGUAGGGGCUUACCAAGGCUUUGACGGGUAGCCGGCCUGAGAGGGUGACCGGCCACAUUGGGACUGAGAUACGGCCCAGACUCCUACGGGAGGCAGCAGUGGGGAAUAUUGCACAAUGGGCGGAAGCCUGAUGCAGCAACGCCGCGUGCGGGAUGACGGCCUUCGGGUUGUAAACCGCUUUCGCCUGUGACGAAGCGUGAGUGACGGUAAUGGGUAAAGAAGCACCGGCUAACUACGUG
rnacentral:rRNA from 1 species